rnacentral:rRNA from 1 species
UACGAAGGGGGGCUAGCGUUGCUCGGAAUCACUGGGCGUAAAGGGCUCGUAGGCGGCCAACUAAGUCAGACGUGAAAUCCCCAGGCUCAACCUGGGACUGCGUCUGAUACUGGAUGGCUUGAAUCCGGGAGAGGGAUGCAGAAUUCCAGGUGUAGCGGUGAAAUGCGUAGAUAUCUGGAGGAAUACCGGUGGCGAAGGCGGCAUCCUGGACCGGCAUUGACGCUGAGGAGCGAAAGCCAGGGGAGCAAACGGG